GAAGCUAAUACCGGAUACGAACUGCGAAGGCAUCUUCAGCAGUUGGAAAGAACUUCGGUCAAGGAUGGACUCGCGGCCUAUCAGGUAGUUGGUGAGGUAACGGCCCACCAAGCCUACGACGGGUAGCCGGCCUGAGAGGGUGACCGGCCACACUGGGACUGAGACACGGCCCAGACUCCUACGGGAGGCAGCAGUGGGGAAUAUUGCACAAUGGGCGCAAGCCUGAUGCAGCAACGCCGCGUGAGGGAUGACGGCCUUCGGGUUGUAAACCUCUUUUAGUAGGGAAGAAGCGAAAGUGACGGUACCUGCAGAAAAAGCACCGGCUAACUACGUGCCAGCAGCCGCGGUAAUACGUAGGGUGCGAGCGUUGUCCGGAAUUAUUGGGCGUAAAGAGCUCGUAGGCGGUCUGUCGCGUCUGCUGUGAAAACCCGAGGCUCAACCUCGGGCCUGCAGUGGGUACGGGCAGACUAGAGUGCGGUAGGGGAGAAUGGAAUUCCUGGUGUAGCGGUGGAAUGCGCAGAUAUCAGGAGGAACACCGAUGGCGAAGGCAGUUCUCUGGGCCGUAACUGACGCUGAGGAGCGAAAGCGUGGGGAGCGAACAGGAUUAGAUACCCUGGUAGUCCACGCCGUAAACGUUGGGCGCUAGAUGUGGGGACCAUUCCACGGUUUCCGUGUCGCAGCUAACGCAUUAAGCGCCCCGCCUGGGGAGUACGGCCGCAAGGCUAAAACUCAAAGGAAUUGACGGGGGCCCGCACAAGCGGCGGAGCAUGCGGAUUAAUUCGAUGCAACGCGAAGAACCUUACCAAGGCUUGACAUAUACGAGAACGGGCUAGAAAUAGUCAACUCUUUGGACACUCGUAAACAGGUGGUGCAUGGUUGUCGUCAGCUCGUGUCGUGAGAUGUUGGGUUAAGUCCCGCAACGAGCGCAACCCUCGUUCUAUGUUGCCAGCACGUAAUGGUGGGAACUCAUAGGAGACUGCCGGGGUCAACUCGGAGGAAGGUGGGGAUGACGUCAAAUCAUCAUGCCCCUUAUGUCUUGGGCUUCACGCAUGCUACAAUGGCCGGUACAAAGGGCUGCAAUACCGCAAGGUGGAGCGAAUCCCAAAAAGCCGGUCUCAGUUCGGAUUGAGGUCUGCAACUCGACCUCAUGAAGUCGGAGUCGCUAGUAAUCGCAGAUC
rnacentral:rRNA from 1 species